GAUUAACGCUAGCGGCAGGCAUAAUACAUGCAAGUUGAACGGCAGCACAGGUAGCAAUACUGGGUGGCGAGUGGCGCACGGGUGCGUAACACGUAUGCAACCUACCCUAUACAGGCGAAUAACCUUUAGAAAUGAGGGCUAAUACGCCGUAGUAUUACAGAUGGGCAUCUAUUUGUAAUUAAAGAUUUAUCGGUAUAGGAUGGGCAUGCGUCCCAUUAGUUAGUUGGUAAGGUAACGGCUUACCAAGACGAUGAUGGGUAGGGGAUCUGAGAGGACUUACCCCCACACUGGUACUGAGACACGGACCAGACUCCUACGGGAGGCAGCAGUAAGGAAUAUUGGGCAAUGGCCGCGAGGCUGACCAGCCAUGCCGCGUGCAGGAAGACGGCCUUAUGGGUUGUAAACUGCUUUUAUACGGGAAUAAUAGAGUGUACGCGUACAUUUAUGCAAGUAUCGUAUGAAUAAGCAUCGGCUAACUCCGUG
rnacentral:rRNA from 1 species